rnacentral:rRNA from 1 species
UGGGUAGUCCGCACGAGCGCACCCUGUCCUUAGUUGCCAGCACGUUAUGGUGGGGACUCUAAGGAGACUGCCUGGGAUAACCAGGAGGAAGGUGGGGAUGACGUCAAGUCCGUAUGUCCCUUAUGCCCAGGGCUACACACGUGUUACAAUGGCCGGUACAAAGGGUCGCGAACCCGCGAGGGGAAGCCAAUCCCAUAAAACCGGCCCCAGUUCGGAUUGGAGUCUGCAACUCGACUCCAUGAAGCAGGAAUCGCUAGUAAUCGCGUAUCAGCACGACGCGGUGAAUACGUUCCCGGGCCUUGUACACACCGCCCGUCACAUCACGAAAGCUGGCUGUACUAGAAGUCACUGUGCCAACCCGUUCGCGGGAGGUAAGUGCCUAAGGUAUGGUUGGUGAUUGGGGUGAAGUCGUAACAAGGUAGCUGUAGGAGAACCUGUGGCUGGAUCACCUCCUUUCU